rnacentral:rRNA from 1 species
AGUGAACGCUGGCGGUAGGCCUAACACAUGCAAGUCGAACGGCAGCACAGUAAGAGCUUGCUCUUACGGGUGGCGAGUGGCGGACGGGUGACGAAUACAUCGGAAUCUACUUUUUCGUGGGUGAUAACGUAGGGAAACUUACGCUAAUACCGCAUACGACCUACGGGUGAAAGUAGGGGAUCUUCGGACCUUUCGCGAUUGAAUGAGCCGAUGUCGGAUUAGCUAGUUGGCGGGGUAAAGGCCCACCAAGGCGACGAUCCGUAGCUGGUCUGAGAGGAUGAUCAGCCACACGGGAACUGAGACACGGUCCAGACUCCUACGGGAGGCAGCAGUGGGGAAUAUUGGGCAAUGGGGGAAAGCCUGAUCCAGCCAUACCGCGUGGGUGAAGAAGGCCUUCGGGUUGUAAAGCCCUGUUGUUGGGAAAGAAAAACAGCAGGUUAAUACCCGGCUGUUCUGACGGUACCCAAAGAAUAAGCACCGGCUAACUUCGUG